rnacentral:rRNA from 1 species
GAUGAACGCUGGCGGCGUGCUUAACACAUGCAAGUCGAACGGAAAGGCCCUGCUUUUUUUGGGUGCUCGAGUAGCGAACGGGUGAGUAAAACGAGAGUAACCUGCCCCUGACACUGGGAUAACUUCAGGAAACUGAUGCUAGUACCUGAUAGGAGCUGCUGCUGCAUGGGGGGGAUUGGAAAGUUAAGGCGGUUGGGGAUCGACUCGCGGCUUAUCAGCUUGUUGGGGGGGUAGUUGCUUACCAAGGUGUCGGCGGGUAGGCGGCCUUGGGGGGGGACCCGCCACAUUGGGACUGAGGUCCGGGCCCGUAUCCUACGGGAGGCAGGAGUGGAGAAUCUUGCACAAUGGGCGGAAGCCUGAUGCAGCAGCGCCGCGUGCGGGAUGGAGGCCUUUGGGUUGUAAACCGCUUUCGACUGUGACGAAGCGUGAGUGACGGUAAUGGAUAAAGAAGCACCGGCUAACUACGUG